rnacentral:rRNA from 1 species
AGAAUCAACGCUGGCGGCGUGCCUAACACAUGCAAGUCGAACGAGAAAGUGGAGCAAUCCAUGAGUAAAGUGGCGCACGGGUGAGUAACACGUGACUAACCUACCCUUGAGUGGGGGAUAACCUAGAGAAAUCUGGGCUAAUACCGCAUAAUACCCUCGGGUCAAAGGAGCAAUUCGCUUAAGGAGGGGGUCGCGGCCGAUUAGUUAGUUGGCGGGGUAAUGGCCCACCAAGACUAUGAUCGGUA